UUUCAUUACUAAUUACAAUUAACUUUAAUUAACCGACAGUUCUGCGUCAACCUCAGCCCGACACCGUUGGGGGGGGGGGGGGGGGGGGGAAGGGGGGGUCACGACGCACUGUGGGGCCGCUGUGGGGCGGCCAUCCUCAGCCCCCCCCCCUACAUCCAUUCCCCCCCCCCCCCAUAUUACAGUCCUUCACAGGGCCGGGGGGGGGGGAGGGGGGGCAGAGCUGCACAGCUGUGGGGCAGAGCCACAUCUCUAUGGGGCAGAGCCACAUCUCUAUGGGCAGAGCCGUGGUGCUAUGGGGCAGAGCCGCAGUGCUGUGGGGCAGAGCCGCAUCGCUAUGGGGCAGAGCCACACUGCUAUGGGCAGAGCCGCAGUGCUAUGGGGCAGAGCCUCACAGCUAUGGGGCAGAGCCACAUCUCUAUGGGGCAGAGCCACAUCUCUAUGGGCAGAGCUGCACUGCUAUGUGGCAGAGCCUCACAGCUAUGGGGCAGAGCUGCCUCUCUAUGUGCAGAGUUGUACAGCUAUGGGGCAGAGCCACAUCUCUAUGGGGCAGAGCCGCGGCGCUAUGGGGCAGAGCCUCACAGCUAUGGGGCAGAGCCACAUCUCUAUGGGGCAGAGCCGUGGCGCUAUGGGCAGAGCCGCGGCGCUAUGGGGCAGAGCCGCAGUGCUAUGGGGCAGAGCCGCGGCGCUAUGGGGCAGAGCCACAUCCCUAUUGGCAGAGCCACAUCUCUAUGGGGCAGAGCCGCACAGCUAUGGGGCAGAGCCACAUCUCUAUGGGGCAGAGCCGUGGUGCUAUGGGGCACAGCCUCACAGCUAUGGGGCAGAGCCACAUCUCUAUGGGGCAGAGCCACAUCUCUAUGGGCAGAGCCGCGGCGCUAUGGGGCAGAGCUGCCUCUCUAUUGGCAGAGCUGUACAGCUAUGGGGCAGAGCCACAUCUCUAUGGGGCAGAGCCGCAUUGCUAUGGGCAGAGCUGUACAGCUAUGGGGCAGAGCCGCGGCGCUAUGGGGCACAGCCGCACUAUGGGGCAGAGCCGCGGCGCUAUGGGGCAGAGCCUCACAGCUAUGGGGCAGAGCCGCGGUGCUAUGGGGCAGAGCCGCAGCGCUAUGGGGCAGAGCCGCGGCGUUAUGGGGCAGAGCUGCCUCUCUAUGGGCAGAGUUGUACAGCUAUGGGGCAGAGCCACAUCUCUAUGGGGCAGAGCCGCGGCGCUAUGGGGCAGAGCCUCACAGCUAUGGGGCAGAGCCACAUCUCUAUGGGGCAGAGCCGUGGCGCUAUGGGGCAGAGCCGCAGCGCUAUGGGGCAGAGCCGCGGCGCUAUGGGGCAGAGCUGCCUCUCUAUGUGCAGAGUUGUACAGCUAUGGGGCAGAGCCACAUCUCUAUGGGGCAGAGCCGCGGCGCUAUGGGGCAGAGCCUCACAGCUAUGGGGCAGAGCCACAUCUCUAUGGGGCAGAGCCGUGGCGCUAUGGGCAGAGCCGCGGCGCUAUGGGGCAGAGCCGCACUAUGGGGCAGAGCCACAUCUCUAUGGGGCAGAGCCACAUCUCUAUGGGCAGAGCCGCGGCGCUAUGGGGCAGAGCUGCCUCUCUAUUGGCAGAGCUGUACAGCUAUGGGGCAGAGCCACAUCUCUAUGGGGCAGAGCCGCAUUGCUAUGGGCAGAGCUGUACAGCUAUGGGGCAGAGCCGCGGCGCUAUGGGGCACAGCCGCACUAUGGGGCAGAGCCGCGGCGCUAUGGGGCAGAGCCUCACAGCUAUGGGGCAGAGCCGCGGUGCUAUGGGGCAGAGCCGCAGCGCUAUGGGGCAGAGCCGCGGCGUUAUGGGGCAGAGCUGCCUCUCUAUGGGCAGAGUUGUACAGCUAUGGGGCAGAGCCACAUCUCUAUGGGGCAGAGCCGCGGCGCUAUGGGGCAGAGCCUCACAGCUAUGGGGCAGAGCCACAUCUCUAUGGGGCAGAGCCGUGGCGCUAUGGGGCAGAGCCGCAGCGCUAUGGGGCAGAGCCGCGGCGCUAUGGGGCAGAGCUGCCUCUCUAUGGGCAGAGCUGUACAGCUAUGGGGCAGAGCCUCACAGCUAUGGGGCAGAGCCGCAUCUCUAUGGGCAGAGCUGUACAGCUAUGGGGCAGAGCCACAUCUCUAUGGGGCAGAGCCGCAUCUCUAUGGGGCAGAGCCGCGGCGCUAUGGGGCAGAGCCGCAUCUCUAUGGGGCAGAGCCGCGGCGCUAUGGGGCAGAGCCCCCCCCGUGUGUGUGGGGCGCAGUGUGGGGCGCUCAGUAGAUCUUCUGUCGGCGCGGCAGCACCGCGUCCCGGAGGAGGCCGAAGACGCGCAGAAGGCCCGAGCGCUGAGAGCGCUUCCCCUGAGUGAAGUAAUUGGACACCACGUCGUCUGCGCGACAGCGCGGGGGCGGCCGGCACAGAGAGAGAGAAUGGGGGG
ensembl:lncRNA